rnacentral:lncRNA from 1 species
CGGCACUUCCGGGUUGGCCUUCUCCAUGUUGUUCUCGGGAACGCGGCGGGGCGGGGCCGGGCGGGGCCGUGGGGUCAGGGGUCAGCACCUCCCUGGUUGCCGUGGCGACCGAGGGCGCGCGGCGGGAGCUCCCCGCCCAGCGCUUGCUGCUCCUGAGGUCGGUUCGCGCCAGCUGCUCCGGCCAGGCGCGGCGCCGGACUCGGGACGUGGGGCCUGCACAGGCCGGCAGCGGGGCUCCGGGGAGAGCGGGGAACCGCGCCCGAGAGGAGGCAGUCAAGGCCCGGGGCCUGCCCGCUCUGGGAGAGACCCGGUUUCAAUCUUCGGAAGCUGCCUUUGCUGCGUCCUGGAUGCCCAGUGCCUGGCACGGAACGGGCGUUCGAUGAAGGGUAAAACAGGUCUCCAGCGUGGCUAAGACCCCAUUGAGACUGAUGGGCUCAACGUCGGAAGGACCCCAGGGGCACUCACAGUCUGGUAGACAACCCAGCUUCGGAAGCGAGCCCCAGAGAUGACUCUGGUCGUAUUCUGUCGAGUAAAAAAAGCAAACAGCCUCCUUCCCAAGGGCGACAGCCAUCUGUCCUACGUGCACCUGAGGUCAAGGCCCCAUGGACACCAGCGCUGCUCUAACGGAAGAGGCAUUUUUAAGAGAGGAAAGUGGGCAUAUGUUAAUACUCGACUUUCUCCUGAAGUAGCGUGAUCUAGUGGGAAAAGUAUGGGUAAUGAAUGGCUGGUGAGACAGGAACCUUGCUUGGUGUCCUGGCUCUGCCUCAGCUUCAGUGCAAAGCUCGUGAUGGGCACUUAGCUCCGUGAGGCAAGAAACUUAGAUUCUGGGAGCCUUGAUUUCCUUCCAUAAAUUCUAGAUAAAAUAGCUAUUAUAGAGUUGGGAGUAGUAGUAUGAGAAAUACAUGUACAUUUCCUAACGUGGUGUGGCACAAAAUCUUAAGUCUCCCUUUGCCCUUCUAUCUCUCAUUCUCCUCUAUUGUAUUUAUUUCAGUUCCUGUCUUAUCUUCCCGUGGAAAUUCUAAGUUCUUUGGACUGCCUUGUGUAUUAUGAAUCGUCCCUUCACAGUGCCUAGCAUGCAGUCGGCGCUCAAUUGACCGAGUGACUUAACGUCUUCUCCCCCUUUAUGAGACUGAUUUUGAGAGUAAAACAGUACGAUAGAUGUGCAUACACUUUUCUAACAUAAAAUAGCCAUAAAAGUGUAAGGUAUUGUGUUUAUUACUUUUAAGCAAAGUUUAAAACUCUUUCAUUCGAGUAACACGUUGUGUUCUCCACGUUUUCUCGGUGCCCCUGUGUUUACAGGAUACAAGCUGCAGCGCUUAAAACCCUAAAAAACAGGGUCUUUUCCCAAUAUAUUGAGGGCCCAGUAUAUUUGUGUCAGAAGAGCAACCACUAAAGAUGAAGAACCUGGGCCGGCUCCGUGGCCGCCGAGUGGUUAAGUUCGCCGCGCUCUGCUGCCCUGGCCCAGGGUUCGGAUCCUGGGCGCGGACAUGGCAGCGCUCGUCAGGCCACGUUGAGGCGGUGUCCCACAUCCCACAACUAGAAGGACAUGCAACUGAGAUAUACAACUGUGUACAGGGGGGGUUUGGGGAGAUAAAGCAGAAAAAAAAAAAAAAAGAUUGGCAACAGUUGUUAGCCCAGGUGCCAAUCCUUAAAAAGAAAAAAAAGAUGAAAAACCUUAGUGGAGAGAAGCGAUAACAUUAUACAUUAUUUUAAUCUUCUGGAAGCGAGGUGCUUUCCUGCCUCUAGAGGACAAUACCACAAGCCUCAAAGACCACCCCGAUUCCAGCACAUUUUUUCAGGACCCACUAACACUUGCUAGUGUCCAUAGAUUUCCUUUCGUUUUUUAGAAACCCUAAUGUUUUUUAGUGCUGCUUACACACAGUGGCUAGUGUGAAUUCUGCAUGAAGUAGACAUUUCAAAAAAAGACAUUGGAUUAAGUUACCACCAACAUCUUCAGGGAGCCAAACUACAGGUGAAUCUUAAAUAACGCUGAGCGAGAUACCAUCUAGAAUGAGAAGACUUGGUUUUGGGUCACUCUAAUGAAAGUUUACUAUAAAGUGUAAAACAGGGGCUGGCCCCGUGGCUGAGUGGUUAAAGCUCCCUGUGUUCUGCUUGGGCAGCCUGGGUUCGCAGGUUCAGAUCCCAGCGAGGACCUGCUCCACUCAUCAGCCAUGCUGUGGAAGCAUCCCACAUACAAAUAGAGAAAAAUUGGCACAGAUACUAGCUCAGGGCUGAUGUUCCUCAAACGAAAAAAAAAGGAAGUUGUCAAUGGAUGAUAGCGCAGGGCGAAUCUUCCUCACCAAAAAAAAAAAAGUCAAAGAGGUGAAAUUUUCCAUCUCUGAGAGACAGUGUAUGAAAAGGCCACAUGCGGAAAACAGAACAAAAUCAUUGAACUGUGAAUAUAGCAUCUGGAUCCCAGAGUGGGCAGUUGUCAACUUUAAAGAAAAAUAUUCUUAGGGAUUUUUCAAGAGUACGUUGGAAUAGUCAAUGGUGGAAUUUCACCAGGAUCUCCGGGGAGAAAUACUUUAACACCUGAAACUCACAAAAACAAAACAAGCAUCAUGAGAACAAAUUUAAUUAAGUUUAGAAUUUUUACAAAUUACAUUUUUUUAAAGUCUUCAUGUCUCUAUUAAAGAUUGUAAUUAAAUAAACAAUAGGCAAUUAAUUAUAACA